GAUGAAGAACGUAGCGAAAUGCGAUACUUGGUGUGAAUUGCAGAAUCCCGUGAACCAUCGAGUCUUUGAACGCAAGUUGCGCCCGAAGCCAUUAGGCCGAGGGCACGCCUGCCUGGGCGUCACACGUCGUUGCCCCCCCAUCUACUCCUUCGGGAUUGCGGGGGGCGGAUGAUGGCCUCUCGUGCGCCUCGUCGCGCGGUUGGCCUAAAUGCCAAGUCCUCGGCGACGCACGCCACGACAAUCGGUGGUUGCGAAACCUCGGUUGCCUGUCGUGUGCGGUCGUCGCGCAUCGAGGGCUCGAAAAAAGUGCCGGGCUUCGGCUCGACUUUCAACGCGACCCCAGGUCAGGCGGGGUUACCCGCUGAAUUUAAGCAUAUCAAUAAGCGGAGGA
rnacentral:misc_RNA from 1 species